UCNGGAAAUCUCAGCUCCUUCAGUAUUGGC
rnacentral:piRNA from 1 species